CCCCACUAAGAUUGCCAUGUGACAAACACCUGUUUGCAUUCCUGCAGUAUUUUACACUCCUGAUUGCUUAACACCUGUGAGAGAUACAAGAUGGGGAUUUCACACUGGAGGUCAUAUAAAAUCAGGACAGUUAAGGGGGAAUUCACUCAGCUUGCACAACAAAAGUAUGUUAUUUACCUGCAUGUAAUGGCUGUUUGUGAAACAGAUUGUACAGAACUUUUACAAAAGUCUGAUUACAUCCUGAGGAACGCUGGACCAUGAGAUAUCCUGUUUUCCACUUGGUUUACAAAGAAAACUCAGUGUCAAGAGAACUGAAGACUGGGAUGUGCUGGACUAGUAAAUUUAUCUGAAGCCAAGAAUGCCCCUGGUUUGGCUCUGGAAAGAGUACUAAGCAGCCAAGGACAUUUGGAUGGUCAAAUCCAACCCAGUACGGUCUUCUGCUGAGCCUGCUCUGUGAUGCACUACUGACACAAAGCUGCUGCACUUUUUCCCUGGACAAGAAUGAUGGUUUCUCAGAGAGAGUGCAGAAGUCAUCUUUGGAGUCUGGAUGCUGUUUCUGCUUCAGAGUCUCUCUACCAUAAAAGAAGCAUCCACACAGCCUUCUUCCUCUGCUGCUGCCCGUGAGAUGAAGGUCCAGAUCAUUGCCUUUCAAGCAGAGGCAGAGAUCCUUGUCUUUCAGUGCCCUGUGUGCUAAGCUUUCUCACUUCCAGCAGUGGGGAAGGGUCAGAGACUGUGUUGUUGUUGUAUGCAUCCUCGGUGGCAUUAUUAACUGGAGCUUUUCAAACAGAUGAAGUAUGUUACUGUGGCUAAAUUGUAAUGAAAGAAGAGAUGGCUGUUUGCCAAUAAAUGAUGCCAUAUGCAACAAAGUGCAGAGAUGGACUAUAGGCUUCCAGCAAGUUACCAGCUUUACUGCCAAGGAGGGUGCUAAGACAGGCAGUCUCCUGGAUACUGAGCUGAUUGUUGUGUGAAAAGUGCAGUAAAGACACCUUUCUACACUGAAAGAAGCUACUGCUGAAAGCUGCUGAAAAAAAUACUGCUGAUAAAAGUGUGUAUUAAAAAUUAAAGUAGACAAGAGGAUGUUAAGUACAAAAAAGAAGAUGCUUGGAGUUGAUGGCUGAGCACAAAUAGCUGCAUACAGCAUCCCCUGCUUUCUUGAAGACAAUGUACCGUAUCAUGGUGGGGAAAAAAAAGAAGAAAAAAAGCAGAUUUCUCUGGACAGCAAUCAUCCUUCAGCUUCUGAGAAAAAACAGUUUGACUGGACAAGAGGACAAAGAAAAGUGGUCCCUUGGAUAAGUGGAGGUGCAUGUUUGCUCAACAGUCCAUACUUGUGGAUGCUCUUCUAACCCAGUUGCCCACUGUUCCCUGAUGGUCUGAGGAACGUCUCAGAAGUACAGCUUGGUUUGAAAAUAGUCCAGAAGAUCUGUCUGCUGUUCUUGAACUCAACAUCAAACCCUGGCUCAGCAGGAAGGCUGUAGUUCUCAAGGUUUCUUAAGGAUGUUUUCCCCUGCUUUUACUGCACAGGUAAAAAAAAAAAAAAUACCUAAAA